GGGAAUCUUGCACAAUGGGGGAAACCCUGAUGCAGCGACGCCGCGUGGAGGACGAAGGGUCUAGGCCUGUAAACUCCUUUUUUCGGGAAAGACUUAGGACGGUACCCGAAGAAUAAUGACCGGCUAACUACGUGCCAGCAGCCGCGGUAAGACGUAGGGUCCAAGCGUUGUCCGGAUUUACUGGGCGUAAAGAGCGCGUAGGCGGCUCGUUAAGUGUAGAGUGAAAUCUCUGGGCUCACCCCAGAAACUGCGCUGCAUACUGGCGAGCUGGAGGGAUGAAGAGGCUUGUGGAAUUCCUGGUGUAGCGGUGAAAUGCGUUGAUAUCAGGAGGAACACCCAUGGCGAAGGCAGCAAGCUGGUCAUCACCUGACGCUGAGGCGCGAAAGCGUGGGUAGCAAACAGG
rnacentral:rRNA from 1 species